CCUCAAGGGACACAUGGUCGGCAGCGUUGUGUGGGCCUCUCCCACAGUACUUGGGUUUGGUCUGUGUGGCCGUCAGAACACAGAAGUGAAGGUUUGUCACUGCCCAGGCUAUUCUGCAAAAGCUAUUGUGGCUUAAUCCCUUGCUCUCUCUGGAAUCACUCACCGUGGGGAAAGGAAGCCAGUUUCCACACCAUGAGGACGUUCAAGUGAGCUGUGGAGAAGCCCGGGAGGUGGUGUGUCUGAGGAUGAGAGGAGGCAGGAAACCAUCAAAGGGCAUACAGCUUGUUUGGGACAAGGAGAAAAGCAGUGGGAUGGGGGUGUCAGCCCUUCUCACAUGUUCUAAUCACCAACCUGUCCUUCGCUAUUGGCUCCUUCCCUCUAUCUGUAAAUGUCAUCAAAUCUCUUUCUCCCAAUACAAAUAAGUAAAUAAAUAAACAGCCAAACACCAACAUAGCCCCCAAACCGACUCCCCACUACCUUCAGUGUUCCCCUAGUAACUAUCCUGACUCUCGUCUUCUCAUCCACACUAUUUAUAAAAAGCAGCCAUUGUCGUUGGGCUGUCUUUAUAAGCACUCUGUCCUCAGGCCACUCUCAAUGGGCCUCUUCCUGCUCCAAAUCCAAUGGACUUUCUUCUGUCUUCUAGGGGACCCUUCUCCUUUGUCCCUUCAUAGCCCCUGGUUUCUUUGACACCGCCCUGCCCUGCUUCUGCCCACGGCUCUCGGAACCCUCCUUCUGUCCUCCGCGAGCCUGUCUCCUCGCUGGCAUGCCCACGUUCUGCAGGAUUCUGUACCUGCUCAUAGCUCCUCCCACUUUAUGCUCUGUCCUGGGCCACGCUUUUCACGCUCAUGAUCAACUACAAAUGAAGUGCGAUGUCUCCCUGAUUCUGAAUGUCACUUCUGAGCUUCAAAUCUAAAUAGUCAACAGCUUGUUGGACAUCUCCACCCGGAAGUACUACAGGAACUUCAAACUCAACACAUCAACAGUGGAAUUCAUGACUGGGCCAGGCACUGCGUUUUCUUCAUCUUUGUGUAUCCAGCACCUAGCAGACAGCAGGCACUCAGGAAUUGUUGGCUGAGUAAGCAUCUUACUUGGAAGGCAGAGGGGCGGAAAUGUUUGAGAAUUAUAGGAGUGUGUAAAAGUCCCAAAGUGAUGCAAGGAAUGUAGGUUGGAGUGUUCAUCAAAACUGCGUUUCCUAGAAGUCAUUAUAUGAAAAGGACACUAGCACACGUAAAUUUACAGCAGCACAAUUCACAAUUGCAGAGAUGUGGAACCAACCUAAGUGCCCAUCAACCAAUGAGUGGGUAAGGAAAACGUGGUAUAUAUACACCAUGGAAUACUACUCAGCCAUUAGAAGGGAGGAAAUAAUGUCUUUUGCAACAACUUGGAUGGAGCUGGAGGCCAUUAUUCUAAGUGAAGUAACACAGGAGUGGAAAACCAAAACCACAUGAUCUCACUUAUAAGUUGGAGCUAAGCUAUGAGUAUGCAAAGGCAUACCGUGUGAUGUCAUGGACUUUAAAGAUGCAGAAAGGGGAAGUGGGUGUACAGUGUGAUAUCAUGGACUUUAAAGAUGCAGACAGGGGAAGUGGGUGGGGGACUGGGGAUAAAUCACCACUAUAUAAUUCAUCCAUGUAACAAAAAGCACCACUUAUACCCCACAAACUAUUGAAAUACGUUUUUUUUUAAAGGAAAGAAACUGAUGCACUCAAAUAAAAUAAUAAAAUCCCAGGUCUUUGAAAAU
rnacentral:lncRNA from 10 species